rnacentral:rRNA from 1 species
GUGGGGAAUCUUCCGCAAUGGACGAAAGUCUGACGGAGCGACGCCGCGUGAGUGAAGAAGGCCUUCGGGUCGUAAAGCUCUGUCAUCAGGGACGAACGGCCGGUGGAGUGGAAAGCCACCGGAUUGACGGUACCUGAGAAGGAAGCCACGGCUAACUACGUGCCAGCAGCCGCGGUAAUACGUAGGUGGCAAGCGUUGUCCGGAAUUAUUGGGCGUAAAGCGCGCGCAGGUGGGAUCUUAAGUCCAUUUUGAAAGUUCGGAGCUCAACUCCGUGAUGGGAUGGACACUGGGAUUCUUGAGUACAGGAGAGGAAAGCGGAAUUCCCCGUGUAGCGGUGAAAUGCGUAGAUAUGGGGAGGAACACCAGUGGCGAAGGCGGCUUUCUGGACGGUGUCUGACACUGAGGCGCGAAAGCUAGGGGAGCGAACGGGAUUAGAUACCCGUGUAGUCC